rnacentral:rRNA from 1 species
CAGCAGCCACGGUAAAACGAAGGGGGCUAGCGUUGCUCGGAAUGACUGGGCGUAAAGGGCGCGUAGGCGGAUGGCUUUGUCAGAUGUGAAAUUCCAGGGCUUAACCUUGGGGCUGCAUUUGAGACGGGUUGUCUAGAGUGGAGAAGAGGGUCGUGGAAUUCCCAGUGUAGAGGUGAAAUUCGUAGAUAUUGGGAAGAACACCGGUGGCGAAGGCGGCGACCUGGUCUUUUACUGACGCUGAGGCGCGAAAGCGUGGGGAGCAAACAGGAUUAGAUACCCCUGUAGUCCCUGUCUCUUAUAC